AUACGGAGGGGGCUAGCGUUGUUCGGAAUUACUGGGCGUAAAGCGCGCGUAGGCGGCUUAUCAAGUUAGGCGUGAAAGGCCUGGGCUCAACCCGGGAACUGCGCUUAAUACUGGUAGACUUGAGUCCGUGAGAGGGUGGCGGAAUUCCCAGUGUAGAGGUGAAAUUCGUAGAUAUUGGGAAGAACACCAGUGGCGAAGGCGGCCACCUGGCCCGGUACUGACGCUGAGGUGCGAAAGCGUGGGGAGCAAACAGUAUUAGAUACCCGUGUAGUCC
rnacentral:rRNA from 1 species